UGCAGUGAGGAUACGUUGAGAGCCAUUAUGCUACGGCAGCUGAGGACUCAGCCCAGGUGAGGCUUCCGCCUGAAAGAUGAGCUAAAGCCAGAGGGAAAUUCCAUCCAGGACCUCACAUGUGACUCGUUCCAAGGGCUCUGAAGACAGGGGCCCUCUGGUACUUCUCUCUCCUGGAUAUUGUCUCCAGCCUUAUCUAGGCCAACAGUAUACACAAUACGGGGUUAGGGACAGCUACAGCGUUGCAGAGGGGUCGCGACCAGUGUUCAGAACUGCUCUUGUACGUUGAACGCUGAACUUUGUCCUGCGCUGCACUGUCCAGUGUGGAUUCUGGGGGAACCAGUGACGUGUGCCUCUAAGCACCCCUGGGUUUGCCCUUGUUUCAACCUCAGAGACAAUGGAAGUUCUGCUCCAAUCAGAGACUGACUCCCUCCGAGUUAAGUCCUCUCUGGACCACCCCACCUCCCUACUCGGGUCAUGUGCUUCCCCCAACGCGUGUCCUGUUCCCUGCUCAAGGGUUGUCAGGCUUUCAUAAGAUAACUCCUGUGGUUAUCACUCAUCCAGAUUCUUACAGCCAGCUGCUCAAAGCUUCCAGAUAAUACACACAAUACUUACUUCUGUUUUCAAUUGCUGAUCUUCAAAAUAAAAUAAAAUAAAAUAAAAUAAAAUAAAAUAAAAUAAAAUAAAAUAAAACAACAACAGCAAAAA
ensembl:lincRNA 1700066B17Rik RIKEN cDNA 1700066B17 gene